CAGCCGCCGCGGUAAUACCGGCGGCCCGAGUGGCGGUCACUAUUAUUGGGCUUAAAGCGUCCGUAGCCCGGUUGGGAAGUCCUCCGGGAAAUCUGGCCGCCUAAAGGUCAGAAUGCCGGAGGAUACUCCCAGCCUAGGGAGCGGGAGAGGCCGAGGGGAUUCCCGGAGGAGGGGUGGAAUCCUAUAAUCCCGGGAGGACCACCUGUGGCGAACGCGCUCGGCUGGAACGCGUCCGACGGUGAGGGACGAAGGCCAGGGGAGCAAACCGGAUUAGAUACCCGGGUAGUCCUGGCUGUAAACGAUGCGGACUUUGUGUCGGACAAGCUAUGAGCUUGUCCGGUGCCGGAGGGAAACCGUUAAGUCCGCCGCCUGGGGAGUACGGCCGCAAGGUUGAAACUUAAAGGAAUUGGCGGG
rnacentral:rRNA from 1 species